UUUUGCAUAUCAAUAAGCGGAGGAAAAGAAACCAACAGGGAUUGCCUUAGUAGCGGCGAGUGAAGCGGCAAAAGCUCAAAUUUGAAAUCUGGCACCUUCGGUGUCCGAGUUGUAAUUUGAAGAUUGUAACCUUGGGGUUGGCUCUUGUCUAUGUUUCUUGGAACAGGACGUCACAGAGGGUGAGAAUCCCGUGCGAUGAGAUGCCCAAUCCUAUGUAAGGUGCUUUCGAAGAGUCGAGUUGUUUGGGAAUGCAGCUCUAAGUGGGUGGUAAAUUCCAUCUAAAGCUAAAUAUUGGCGAGAGACCGAUAGCGAACAAGUACAGUGAUGGAAAGAUGAAAAGAACUUUGAAAAGAGAGUGAAAAAGUACGUGAAAUUGUUGAAAGGGAAGGGUUUGAGAUCAGACUCGAUAUUUUGUGAGCCUUGCCUUCGUGGCGGGGUGACCCGCAGCUUAUCGGGCCAGCAUCGGUUUGGGCGGUAGGAUAAUGGCGUAGGAAUGUGACUUUGCUUCGGUGAAGUGUUAUAGCCUGCGUUGAUGCUGCCUGCCUAGACCGAGGACUGCGAUUUUAUCAAGGAUGCUGGCAUAAUGAUCCCAAACCGCCCGUCUUGAAACACGGAACCAA
rnacentral:rRNA from 1 species